GUGCCAGCAGCCGCGGUAAUACGUAGGGUGCGAGCGUUGUCCGGAAUUACUGGGCGUAAAGAGCUCGUAGGUGGUUUGUCGCGUUGUUCGUGAAAUCUCACGGCUUAACUGUGAGCGUGCGAGCGAUACGGGCAGACUUGAGUACUGCAGGGGAGACUGGAAUUCCUGGUGUAGCGGUGGAAUGCGCAGAUAUCAGGAGGAACACCGGUGGCGAAGGCGGGUCUCUGGGCAGUAACUGACGCUGAGGAGCGAAAGCGUGGGGAGCGAACAGGAUUAGAUANCCUGGUAGUCCACGCCGUAAACGGUGGGUACUAGGUGUGGGUUUCUUCCUUGGGAUCCGUCCGUAGUAACGCUUAAGACCCCGCUGGGGAUUACGCCCGCAGGUAAAACUCAAAGAAUUGACGGGGGCCCGACAAGCGCCGGAGAAUGUGGAUUAAUUCGAUGCAACGCGAAGACCCUUAC
rnacentral:rRNA from 1 species